rnacentral:rRNA from 1 species
AUACGUAGGGGGCGAGCGUUGUCCGGAAUGAUUGGGCGUAAAGGGCGCGUAGGCGGCCCGGUAAGUCUGGAGUGAAAGUCCUGUUUUUAAGAUGGGAAUUGCUUUGGAUACUGUCGGGCUUGAGUGCAGGAGAGGUAAGUGGAAUUCCCAGUGUAGCGGUGAAAUGCGUAGAGAUUGGGAGGAACACCAGUGGCGAAGGCGACUUACUGGACUGUAACUGACGCUGAGGCGCGAAAGUGUGGGGAGCAAACAGGAUUAGAUACCCUGGUAGUCCACACUAUAAACGAUGAAUGCUAGGUGUAGGGGGUAUCGACCCCUUCUGUGCCGCAGUCAACACAAUAAGCAUUCCGCCUGGGGAGUACGGCCGCAAGGUUGAAACUCAAAUGAAUUGACGGGG